rnacentral:rRNA from 1 species
GACGAACGCUGGCGGCGUGCUUAACACAUGCAAGUCGAACGAUGAUCAGGAGCUUGCUCCUGUGAUUAGUGGCGAACGGGUGAGUAACACGUGAGUAACCUGCCCCUGACUCUGGGAUAAGCGUUGGAAACGACGUCUAAUACUGGAUAUGAUCACUGGCCGCAUGGUCUGGUGGUGGAAAGAUUUGUUGGUUGGGGAUGGACUCGCGGCCUAUCAGCUUGUUGGUGAGGUAAUGGCUCACCAAGGCGACGACGGGUAGCCGGCCUGAGAGGGUGACCGGCCACACUGGGACUGAGACACGGCCCAGACUCCUACGGGAGGCAGCAGUGGGGAAUAUUGCACAAUGGGCGAAAGCCUGAUGCAGCAACGCCGCGUGAGGGAUGACGGCCUUCGGGUUGUAAACCUCUUUUAGUAGGGAAGAAGCGAAAGUGACGGUACCUGCAGAAAAAGCACCGGCUAACUACGUG